AGAGUUUGAUCCUGGCUCAGGAUGAACGCUAGCGGGAGGCUUAACACAUGCAAGUCGAGGGGUAACAGGGGGUAGCAAUACUCCGCUGACGACCGGCGCACGGGUGAGUAACGCGUAUGUAACCUACCUUGUACUGGGGGAUAGCCCGGAGAAAUUCGGAUUAAUACCCCAUAAUGAUAUCGGAUGGCAUCGUUUGAUAUUUAAAGCUCCGGCGGUACGGGAUGGGCAUGCGUAACAUUAGCUAGUUGGCAGGGUAACGGCCUACCAAGGCUGCGAUGUUUAGGGGUCCUGAGAGGGUGAUCCCCCACACUGGUACUGAGACACGGACCAGACUCCUACGGGAGGCAGCAGUGAGGAAUAUUGGUCAAUGGGCGCAAGCCUGAACCAGCCAUCCCGCGUGAAGGAAGAAGGCGCUAUGCGUUGUAAACUUCUUUUUCAGGGGAAGAAUGUUGGGUACGUGUACCCAAUUGCCGGUACCCUGUGAAUAAGCAUCGGCUAACUCCGUGCCAGCAGCCGCGGUAAUACGGAGGAUGCGAGCGUUAUCCGGAUUUAUUGGGUUUAAAGGGUGCGUAGGCGGAUUGAUAAGUCAGUGGUGAAAUCCUGCAGCUUAACUGUGGAAUUGCCGUUGAUACUGUCAGUCUUGAGUAUGGUUAAGGUAGGCGGAAUGUGUAAUGUAGCGGUGAAAUGCUUAGAUAUUACACAGAACACCGAUUGCGAAGGCAGCUUACUGAACCAAAACUGACGCUGAGGCACGAAAGCGUGGGGAGCGAACAGGAUUAGAUACCCUGGUAGUCCACGCCGUAAACGAUGAUCUCUCGCUGUUAGCGAUACACAGUUUAGCGGCUAAGCAAAAAGCAUUAAGUGAUCCACCUGGGGAGUACGGCCGCAGGGCUGAAACUCAAAUGAAUUGACGG
rnacentral:rRNA from 1 species